rnacentral:rRNA from 1 species
GUCCUUGCCGUAAACGAUGUGGAUUAGGUGUCGGAGGUGUCGAUCCCUCCGGCGCCGACGCUAACGCAUUAAAUCCACCACCUGGGGAGUACGGUCGCAAGACUGAAACUCAAAGAAAUUGACGGGGACCCGCACAAGCGGUGGAGCAUGUGGUUUAAUUCGAGGCUACGCGAAGAACCUUACCCAGGCUUGACAUGUAGUUGACUGUGAAUGAAAGUUCAUUUUCCCGCAAGGGACAAUUACACAGGUGCUGCAUGGCUGUCGU